UACGUAGGGGGCAAGCGUUGUCCGGAAUCAUUGGGCGUAAAGAGCGCGUAGGCGGCCCUGUAAGUCCGCUGUGAAAGUCAAGGGCUCAACCCUUGAAUGCCGGUGGAUACUGUCGGGCUCGAGUCCGGAAGAGGCGAGUGGAAUUCCUGGUGUAGCGGUGAAAUGCGCAGAUAUCAGGAGGAACACCGAUGGCGAAGGCAGCUCGCUGGGACGGUACUGACGCUGAGACGCGAAAGCGUGGGGAGCAAACAGG
rnacentral:rRNA from 1 species